AGCCUAUAUUGACAAGUAAUUUGGGAAAGGAUCAUAUCCAUUCUCACAACCCCUCCACUGCUGCUGUAGCCUGUUAUAAGAGUACCAAGGAGGAGCCUUGGGAAAUGUCACUGUGCUUUGGUAUUCUGUUGUUAGAGAGAUAGAUAUCAUUACUGAAGAAUCAUGAGUGAUCUUUGGACGCAGUCUCACGACUUGUCCAAUUUAGAAUUCAGAUGACCCUUUAUUUUGUCAGUGUUUGUCAGCAAUUCCUGAUUCAAAAUCAUUUU
rnacentral:lncRNA from 1 species